UACGUAGGCAGCGAGCGUUGUUCGGAGUUACUGGGCGUAAAGAGUGCGUAGGCGGUUUCUAAGUUUGGUGUGAAAUCUCCCGGCUCAACUGGGAGGGUGCGCCGAAGACUGGAAGGCUUGAGUAUGGGAGAGGUAAGCGGAAGUUCCUGGUGUAGCGGUGAAAUGCGUAGAUAUCAGGAGGAACACCUGCGGUGUAGACGGCUUACUGGACCAUAACUGACGCUGAGGCACGAAAGCGUGGGUAGCAAACAGG
rnacentral:rRNA from 1 species